GUGCUUGCUUCAGCAGCACAUAUACUAAAAUUCGGAACAAUACAGAGAAGAUUAGCAUGGCCCCCGCACAAGGAUGACACGUUUUUAAAUUUUAUAUUUUU
ensembl:snRNA U6 U6 spliceosomal RNA